UGACGGUACCUGACUAAGAAGCCCCGGCUAACUACGUGCCAGCAGCCGCGGUAAUACGUAGGGGGCAAGCGUUAUCCGGAUUUACUGGGUGUAAAGGGAGCGCAGACGGCAAGGCAAGUCUGAUGUGAAAGGUGGGGGCUCAACCCCCAAACUGCAUUGGAAACUGUCUGGCUAGAGUGUCGGAGGGGUAAGUGGAAUUCCUAGUGUAGCGGUGAAAUGCGUAGAUAUUAGGAGGAACACCAGUGGCGAAGGCGGCUUACUGGACGACAACUGACGCUGAGGCUCGAAAGCGUGGGGAGCAAACAGGAUUAGAUACCCUG
rnacentral:rRNA from 1 species